CAGGGGGGUAACCGGCAUCUCUUAUAGCAAGCUUAUUAUAACAUUACUAUGUCUUUUCGUACCGUGACACCCUUAACGCAAGCUUGUUGCAGCGUUAAACUGAUUUUGUUUUUCUAGCAAUUUUGAUGACGUCACUCGUAAUAGUUCACUCAAUUAUUGGGACCGUGCGAUCUAUUUGACAAUUUGACAGUUAUCGGUUAAUAAUAGAACUUCGUAACUGCGAAUUACAUCGGCUUGUUCGAAGAAAAGGCUUCAAACCUUUUGAUUUAAGAAGAAUCGUGUAAAUAGUAAACAAGUGCGUAAUCAUCACGAGUCCCUAUGAGAUAUGGGGGCAUCAUAUGAACAAUUUGAAAAUACAAUAUAGGUAACCUACAGAUUUAUCUGUGUAAGAUAAAAGUAAUAUUCUACAAUCAAUUCCGAGCACUAGGAAUAAGAUUACCCAGAGUAACCACAUGGAUGCAUUGAUAGUAUUCAAGAAGCCAUGGUGCCAGCGCAACAUGAAUAUAUUUUUUUCAAUAGGAAGCAAUAUCAUACUUUAAAUGUUUAAGUGCAAUAAAAAACAUUUAUAAAU